ACACAAAGACUCACAAAGACUGGAAGUCCUGGAUUUCUUUUCCAGUCUCUCCAACCUUGAAUUAUAGUGCCAUGACUGGGAGAAUAGAUUGGAAAGUUCCAAUUUCUAAGUUCCCUUUUCUUUAGCAACUUAAUUAUAACGUUUCCUUUUAUUUUACAUAUUAUUCUUGAGAUCCCCCUCUCUCCUUUUUUUUUUUUUUNUUUUUUUUUUUUUUUUUUUUUUUUUUUUUUUUUUUAACCUAGAUAACCCAAGUUGGCAAUCCGUGUAUACGAUGUGUAGCUGUCUCAUCGGAAAGAAACAUUCAAUCCAGCAGAAUUCAGUUCCAGUUUCGAAUGUAUAUUAUACUGACAUAGACCGAGACUGUGCACUUAUCAUCUGCUGGGCUCCAGGACCCAGUUGAAAAGAAGACCAAUGGUCUCCUAUUUGUCCAUGUUCUUUAAUUGCUCCUGAACUCAACUCCCACUUCCAUAAUUCUCCUAAAUCUCUCAUAAUUCUGCCAUGCAAAUCCAUG
rnacentral:lncRNA from 1 species